AGUACCAGCAGUGCCCCAGUCCCCAUAGUCUCCUGUUUCAGUCGUUAAAAGGCGAUUUUGACUCUCCCUUUGUAGAAAUCAUACAGCUUCUGUAUCUGAUCAGAAGGUCAACAACACAAUCAUCUGAUGUUAGGCUAGAGGUAAGAACAGCCGGCUCUGGGGUUCCCGGAGGAAGGAAUUGCCAAUCUCGCCUGAAAGAACUGGUGGUAGAUUGAAUGAGACUUCAAGCAAAUACCAAAGGGUCAACCUUCAUCCAGUCCUCUGAGCAUUACUGGCAGACCUCCCUGAAAUGGGCACAUCACAAAAAAAUUGUAAAUGCUUCCCACCCAGCUCCCAGACAAAACUCCAAGAAUGCACUAACACCACUCCCAAGGGGUUGCACCAGCUAUUGGAGUGGCUUGGGCAGGGAAAAUGUUUGUCUCUGCUUUUUUUCACACCUG
rnacentral:lncRNA from 1 species